rnacentral:rRNA from 1 species
AUGACCCUCGCAACAUCUUCCUCCAGGAUCCUGUUGAAUGGGGACCCGGGCACCCCUUUCGCUCAUGCAUGCGGCCUGCGUCAGGGUGACCCCAUAUCUCUGAUGCUAUUCAUCCUAGCCAUCAACACUCUCCAGCUUAUGCUCCGUGCGGCCUCUCUGGAGGGGAUCCUCAAGCCGAUCAAGGCUCGUUCGGCUACAUGCAGAAUCUCCCUCUACGCUGAUGAUGCUGGCAUCUUCAUCAAUCCGGACAAGGAUGAGAUCGACGCCAUCACAAUGAUCCUUGCCUGUUUUGGCGAGGCUUCAGGCCUCAUCACCAACGUAACCAAGAUGAAAGUGUUCCCCAUCCACUGUCACGGGCUCGAUCUUACAAACAUCCUUUCAGGCUUCCCCGUGAAGAUUGCCUCCUUCCCCCACAAAGUACCUGGGCCUCCCCCUCCAUACUGGGUGGCUCAAAAGAGCGGACCUCGAACCUCUCUUCGACAAGGCAAUGGGCAUACUGCCAGGGUGGAAGGGCAAAAACCUCGCUAG